GGCUACUGCUAUUGGGAUUCGACUAAGCCAUGCGAGUCAAGGUGUCUUCGGACGCCGGCGUACGGCUCAGUAACACGUAGGUAACCUACCCUCAGGACUGAGAUAACCCCGGGAAACUGGGGCUAAUAUUAGAUAGAUAAAAGGUACUGGAAUGUUCUUUUAUCCAAAGCUUUUGCGCCUGAGGAUGGGCCUGCGUCCGAUUAGGUUGUUGGUGGGGCAAUGGCCCACCAAGCCUGCGAUCGGUACGGGCAGUGAGAGCUGAAGCCCGGAGUUGGGGACUGAGACAAGGCCCCAGGCCCUACGGGGCGCAGCAGGCGCGAAACCUCUGCAAUGCGGGAAACCGUGACAGGGGGAUCCCAAGUGCUCAUGCAUUGCAUGGGCUGUUCUUUGGUCUAAGUAACCAGAGGAGUAAGGGCUGGGCAAGACCGGUGC
rnacentral:rRNA from 1 species